rnacentral:SRP_RNA from 1 species
CAGGGAGGCUGGGCGGACGCGCUGUCGGUCUAACCGGUCAGGUCCGAGAGGAAGCAGCCAGGGUCGGCUUCGCGCGGGUCGUCCAGUCUUCCGCUGAU